ACUCCUACGGGAGGCAGCAGUGGGGAAUAUUGCACAAUGGGGGAAACCCUGAUGCAGCCAUGCCGCGUGUGUGAAGAAGGCCUUGGGUUGUAAAGCACUUUCAGUAGGGAGGAAGGUAGUGUAGUUAACACCUGCAUUAUUUGUACGUUACCUACAGAAGAAGCACCGGCUAACUCCGUGCCAGCAGCCGCGGUAAGUACGGAGGGUGCGAGCGUUAAUCGGAAUUACUGGGCGUAAAGCGCAUGCAGGCGGCCUGUUAAGUCAGAUGUGAAAGCCCGGGGUCUUAACCGUCGGAAUUGCAUUUGAAACUGGCAGGCUAGAGUCUUGUAGAGGGGUUAGAAUUUCAGGUGUAGCGGUGAAAUGCGUAGAGAUC
rnacentral:rRNA from 1 species